rnacentral:rRNA from 1 species
GGUAAACGCUGGCGGCGUGCCUAAAACAUGCAAGUCGAACGGAUAGUCGCAAGAUUAUCAGUGGCAGACGGCUGAGUAACGCGUGGGUGACGUGCCGAUAGGUGGGGAAUAACUGCCCGAAAGGGUGGCUAAUACCGCAUACGUCCACUGAUUCGAUUCAGUGGGGAAAGCUUCGCAAGAGGCGCCGAUAGAGCGGCCCGCGUCCGAUUAGCUGGUUGGUGGGGUAACGGCCUACCAAGGCGACGAUCGGUAGCUGGUCUUAGAGGAUGAUCAGCCAGACUGGGACUGAGACACGGCCCAGACUCCUACGGGAGGCAGCAGUUAGGAAUUUUGGGCAAUGGGCGCAAGCCUGACCCAGCAACGCCGCGUGGGUGACGAAGGCCU